ensembl:lncRNA
GAAGAUCCAUCUGUAGAAUGGGCCACUCUUUCUGCUGGCAGCCUAUAUAGAGAACAAGGAAGAAGGAAGCUCACUCUCUGCCUGCUUGCUCUCACUCUUGCUAGCAAGUCCAUUCCUUCACUGGCUUUAGGGCACACUUCUUUGGGACCCUAGCUGAGACAUCAUCCAGCCUUGUGGACUGAACAACUACUGCAUUCUUGGACCUUCCAUUGGCCCUGCGAUCAGUUCUAGGAGCUGAAGGGAGGUUGUUGUGGUGGCUGCUCUCUCUGAGGAGAAACUGAUGAGUGACUGAAGGUGGAGCAGCAUGGCAGAUGCUCUGUCAAAUGGGGAAGAAAAGAACACAGUGAGGGCCCCACAGGAGGAAGCCUUGAGACUCCAGGAAAAGAGCAGCAGGAAGGGCUGGGGUAGGGGCUGACCUGACUGCAGGCAGCUGGUCCUGCCUGGGAUGGCUCUAGGUUUGUCUUCUGAGAGAAGCCACGUCCUUCAGCACCCAGAAAACAGCUCUGUAAGAUGAAAGUCUGGAAAGACUGUGACGUCCAACUCAUCAUUUGAGAGAGAAAAACAAUACUAGGGUGAUGGCUACUGUUGAUGACAGAGAGGUGACUCGGGGGUAAAGAGGGAGGACCUCCUGUUCCUCCAGAGGACGGGGUUGGCUUCCCAGCACCCACAUCAGCCAGCUCACAACUGUAACCAAAGAAUCUGGGGCCUCUUCUGGCUUCCACAGGGCUUGUCUGCAUGUGCACACCCAGACACACAUACAGACCCCACCACUCAGACACACUCACACACACAUGUACACCCCACCACUCACACACACAGAGACACACAGGCACACCCCACUACUCAGACACACUCGCAGACACAUGCACACACCACCACUCACACACACUCACACACACACAUGCACACACCACCACUCACACACACUCACACACAUGCACACACCACCACUCACACACACUCACACACACACAUGCACACCCUAACACUCACACCCUAACACUCACACACACACACACAUGCACACCCCACCACUCACACACACAGAGACACACAGGCACACCCCACUACUCACACACACUCACACACACACAUGCACAUCCCACCACUCACACACACUCACACACACACAUGCACACCCUAACACUCACACCCUAACACUCACACACACACACAUGCACACCCUACCACUCACACACACUCACACACACUCACGCACACACAUGCACACCCACCACUCACACACACACACACUCAGACACACAUGCACACCCUACCACUCACACACAUUUGCAUAUACAUAAUUAAAAACAAAUAAACAGGAGCUGGAGAGAUGGUCAGUGGUUGACAGCACAUUCUGCUCUUGCAGCAAACCUGAGUUCUGUUCCCGGCAGCAUCUCUGGCUCACCUGUAACUGUAGCUGCAGGGUCUCUAGUGCCCUCUUCUGGCCUCUGCAGGACUGCAAUCAUGUGGCUACAUGCACCCAUGUACACAUAACAAUAUACACACAUACCAUAUAUAAGAAUAAUAUUUUACAUGUAUUGAUCCUGGUGUGGCCAUGGCCAGAAGCUACCAAAUGACAGAACUGUUCUCUGUGUCCUGUGCCCUAAGGAUUUAUUCUGAGGUGGAUGCUGCUAGAAUAAGACACAGCUUGGAAGUGGGGAAGAUUCCUUCCACCAAGACCAUCCUCCUCAUCAGAGGUGGACACGGUCUCCUCUAUCCUCAGAGCCCUCCCUGUUGUACAUUCCCAGAAGCAUUUGUCUAAAAGGUAGUGUUUUCUGUGACUUGAUUAUACUGAAUGAGAGAGAAGAGAAUUUUCUCAAAAUGUCUACCCAGGAGAAGCCAGGAACCAAGAAAAGUGUUUUAUUGCCACACGUUCAAAGAGAUCUAUAUUUCAAUAGUAAAAUUUUGUAAAAGACUUUGAAGUGAAGGCAGGUAGUGCUGAGUGCUCAUCUAGAGCAGCCUGCCAAGUUCCCUGAUUCUUCUGGGACCUGUGCCCCUGCACUAUCUUUGGGCUAUUUUACAAGUCUGUUAGUCCUAAAGAAAACUGAUAGUAAUGCAAAUGACUUUUCCCCCUCAAAAUGCAAAUGAAUGUGCCAGGAAACAUGGCCCUGGAGUGACUUAGUGAGCGCCUUUGCAAAUAUCUAAUAAUUUCCUUCACUUUUCUUGAUCACCUGUUCCGUGUUCCUUUCUAGAUAUGAAAAAAAAAAAAAUAUUCGCCCAAGGAAGAUACCUGCAACAGACUAGAAUAGUGCAAUUACACCCUAGUUUGGUGAACCAAUGAAUUUAUAGGGGUAACUUACAAGAGCAUAGGGGACUCAGAGCAACUUUAUCUUCGGAAAGCCCACCCAGCAUGAAUGAGACCAGUGCAUGGCACUUCUCAGGAGUGCCCGGCAU